GAUGAACGCUGGCGGCGUGCCUAACACAUGCAAGUCGAGCGGACAGACGAGGCUUUUGCUUGUCUUCCGUUAGCGGCGGGCGGGUGAUUCACACGUGUAUACCCUACCUAUAAGACUGAUAUAACUACGGGAAAGCGGAUCUAACACCGGAUAAGAUAUUGAACCUCGUGGUUCAUUAGAGAAAGACGGUUUUGCUGUCACUAAUAGAGGGUUGCGAGCUGCAUUGGCUAGUUGGUACGGUAACGGCUUUCCAAGGCAACGCUGCGUAGCCGACCUGAGAGAGUGAUCGGCCACACUGGAACUGAGACACGGUCCAGACCCCUACGGAAGGAAGCAGGAGGGAAUUUUGAGCAAUGGGGGAAAGCCUGACGGAGCAACGCGGCGUGAGUGAUGAAGGUCUUCGGAUGGUAAAACUCUGUUAUUAGGGGAGAACAAAUGUGUAAGUAACUAUGCACGUCUUGACGGUACCUAAUCAGAAAGCCACGGCUAACUACGU
rnacentral:rRNA from 1 species